GAUGAACGCUGGCGGCGUGCCUAAUACAUGCAAGUCGAACGCUGAAGGAGGAGCUUGCUCUUCUGGAUGAGUUGCGAACGGGUGAGUAACGCGUAGGUAACCUGCCUGGUAGCGGGGGAUAACUAAUGGAAACGAUAGCUAAUACCGCAUGACAACAGUUAUUGCAUGAUAACUGUUUAAAAGUGGCAACUGCUGCACUACCAUAUGGCCCUGCGUUGUAUUAGCUUGUUGGUGAGGUAACGGCCCACCCAGGGGAAUAUACAUAGCCGAGCUGAGAGGGUUGAUGGCCAACACGGGAACGGGAAACGGCCCCGGCCCCCACGGGGAGGAGCAGGAGGGAAACUUUGGACAAGGGGGGAAGGCUGAACGCAGAACGCCGCGGGAGGUAAGAAGGGUUUCGGGUCGGAAAGGUCUGUUGUAAGGGAAGAAAGAGUGGGAGAGUGGAACGUUCACGUUGUGACGGUAUCUUACCAGAAAGCGACGGCUAACUACGUG
rnacentral:rRNA from 1 species